CUACGGGUCGCAGCAGUGAGGAAUAUUGCUCAAUGGGGGGAACCCUGAUGCAGCAACGCCGCGUGGAGGAUGACGCAUUUCGGUGUGUAAACUCCUUUUAUAUGUCAAGAAAAUGACGGUAGCAUAUGAAUAAGCACCGGCUAACUCCGUGCCAGCAGCCGCGGUAAUACGGAGGGUGCAAGCGUUACUCGGAAUCACUGGGCGUAAAGGACGCGUAGGCGGGUUGGAAAGUCAGGUGUGAAAUCCUACAGCUUAACUGUAGAACUGCACUUGAAACUUCUAAUCUAGAGUAUGGGAGGGGGAGAUGGAAUUAGUGGUGUAGGGGUAAGAUCCGUAGAUAUCACUAGGAAUACCUAAAGCGAAGGCGAUCUCCUGGAACAUUACUGACGCUAAGGCGUGAAAGCGUGGGGAGCAAACAGGAUUAGAUACCCUAGUAGUC
rnacentral:rRNA from 1 species